AGCUCCAAUAGCGUAUAUUUAAGUUGUUGCGGUUAAAACGCUCGUAGUUGGACUUUGAGCGCCGGUAUGUCGGUCCGCCCUCGCGGGCGCGCACCGCACGUUCGGUCGUUCUUCGGGUCGGGUCCGCGCGCUGGGCUUAACUGUCCGGUGCGUGUGCGUCCGGCUGGGUUACUUUGAGGAAAAUAGAGUGUUCAAAGCGUGCGAUCGCGUGAAUACGCUAGCAUGGAAUAACACGAUAGGGCUGUGGGCCACACGUGGUUGGUCUGUGGUGUCCGUAGCAAUGAUCGAGAGGAGCGGUCGGGGGCAUUCGUAUUCCACUGUCAGAGGUGAAAUUCUUGGAUUUGUGGAAGGCGAACAUCUGCGAAAGCGAUUGCCAAGGACGUCUCCG
rnacentral:rRNA from 1 species